GGCCGUAUGGCCCAAUGGUAAGGCGCUUGACUACGAAUCAAGAGAUCGCAGGUUCGAGCCCUGCUACGGUCA
rnacentral:tRNA from 1 species